rnacentral:rRNA from 1 species
UGCUAUUGGGGUCCGAUUUAGCCAUGCUAGUUGCACGAGUUCAUACUCGUGGCGAAAAGCUCAGUAACACGUGGCCAAACUACCCUACAGAGAACGAUAACCUCGGGAAACUGAGGCUAAUAGUUCAUACGGGAGUCAUGCUGGAAUGCCGACUCCCCGAAACGCUCAGGCGCUGUAGGAUGUGGCUGCGGCCGAUUAGGUAGACGGUGGGGUAACGGCCCACCGUGCCGAUAAUCGGUACGGGUUGUGAGAGCAAGAGCCCGGAGACGGAAUCUGAGACAAGAUUCCGGGCCCUACGGGGCGCAGCAGGCGCGAAACCUUUACACUGCACGCAAGUGCGAUAAGGGGACCCCAAGUGCGAGGGCAUAUAGUCCUCGCUUUUCACGACUGUAAGGCGGUCGUGGAAUAAGAGCUGGGCAAGACCGGUGCCAGCCGCCGCGGUAAUACCGGCAGCUCAAGUGAUGACCGAUAUUAUUGGGCCUAAAGCGUCCGUAGCCGGCCACGAAGGUUCAUCGGGAAAUCCGCCAGCUCAACUGGCGGGCGUCCGGUGAAAACCACGUGGCUUGGGACCGGAAGGCUCGAGGGGUACGUCCGGGGUAGGAGUGAAAUCCCGUAAUCCUGGACGGACCACCGAUGGCGAAAGCACCUCGAGAAGACGGAUCCGACGGUGAGGGACGAAAGCUAGGGUCUCGAACCGGAUUAGAUACCCGGGUAGUCCUAGCUGUAAACGAUGCUCGCUAGGUGUGGCACAGGCUACGAGCCUGUGCUGUGCCGUAGGGAAGCCGAGAAGCGAGCCGCCUGGGAAGUACGUCCGCAAGGAUGAAACUUAAAGGAAUUGGCGGGGGAGCACUACA